GACGAACGCUGGCGGCGUGCCUAAUACAUGCAAGUAGGACGCACAGUUUAUACCGUAGCUUGCUACACCAUAGACUGUGAGUUGCGAACGGGUGAGUAACGCGUAGGUAACCUGCCUAUUAGAGGGGGAUAACUAUUGGAAACGAUAGCUAAUACCGCAUAACAGUAUGUAACACAUGUUAGAUGCUUGAAAGAUGCAAUUGCAUCGCUAGUAGAUGGACCUGCGUUGUAUUAGCUAGUAGGUAGGGUAAUGGCCUACCUAGGCGACGAUACAUAGCCGACCUGAGAGGGUGAUCGGCCACACUGGGACUGAGACACGGCCCAGACUCCUACGGGAGGCAGCAGUAGGGAAUCUUCGGCAAUGGGGGAAACCCUGACCGAGCAACGCCGCGUGAGUGAAGAAGGUUUUCGAAUCGUAAAGCUCUGUUGUUAAGGAAGAACGAGUGUGAGAAUGGAAAGUUCAUACUGUGACGGUACUUAACCAGAAAGGGACGGCUAACUACGUGCCAGCAGCCGCGGUAAUACGUAGGUCCCGAGCGUUGUCCGGAUUUAUUGGGCGUAAAGCGAGCGCAGGCGGUUAGAAAAGUCUGAAGUGAAAGGCAGUGGCUCAACCAUUGUAGGCUUUGGAAACUGUUUAACUUGAGUGCAGAAGGGGAGAGUGGAAUUCCAUGUGUAGCGGUGAAAUGCGUAGAUAUAUGGAGGAACACCGGUGGCGAAAGCGGCUCUCUGGUCUGUAACUGACGCUGAGGCUCGAAAGCGUGGGGAGCGAACAGG
rnacentral:rRNA from 1 species